GGAGAACUUUCUUUCUUCUCAGCAGUUCAACUGCAAUAUGAAUUGCAGGCUUGUGAUGGAUCAUGAAAGAUUUUGAAGCCAAAGAUGGAGCUGCCAAGGAUAUCACUAAUUCUUCUACUAUAAACCGACACCAGUUGUUCCUUUGUAUAGCUGAUACUUCUGUUUCCACAUCUUGCCACCCAAUGAGCAUAGACAAACAGAGGGAACAGUUCAUUGCUACAGACAUGUCACUUGAAAAUAGUUGGCCUUCUAAAACAGCCAUUAUAGACGUCAAAUAAUUAGUUCUGAAUUCUAAUGUGUCUGAUUUUCUACUUUUCUCGUCUUCUAUUCCACUGAAUAACUCCAGAAGGUAUUGCGAGCUAAGUAACUUAAUAGGAAUAGAUCCAAAAUGCAAUAACUUGCACAAAUCGUGGCACUGUAUACUAAUAUAAGACCAGGGUUGCGGUAUGUUGGUAGGAUCCAGCAGAUAUUGGAAGUCCAUAAUCC
rnacentral:misc_RNA from 1 species